rnacentral:rRNA from 1 species
UACGGGGGGGCAAGCGUUGUUCGGAAUUACUGGGCGUAAAGGACUCGUAGGCGGCCAACUAAGUCACACGUGAAAUCCCCAGGCUUAACCUGGGAACUGCGUGUGAUACUGGAUGGCUUGAAUCCGGGAGAGGGAUGCAGAAUUCCAGGUGUAGCGGUGAAAUGCGUAGAUAUCUGGAGGAAUACCGGUGGCGAAGGCGGCAUCCUGGACCGGCAUUGACGCUGAUGAGCGAAAGCUAGGGAGCAAACGGGG